UACCAGCACCCCGAGUGGUCGGGACGGUUAUUGGGCCUAAAGCGUCCGUAGCCGGUUCUUCAAGUCUUCCGUUAAAUCCAACUGCUUAACAGGUGGGCUGCGGAAGAUACUAUAGAGCUAGGAGGCGGGAGAGGCAAGCGGUACUCGAUGGGUAGGGGUAAAAUCCGUUGAUCCAUUGAAGACCACCAGUGGCGAAGGCGGCUUGCCAGAACGCGCUCGACGGUGAGGGAUGAAAGCUGGGGGAGCAAACCGG
rnacentral:rRNA from 1 species